rnacentral:rRNA from 1 species
GAAGGGUGGGUAACACUAACUGGAGGACCGAACCGACUAAUGUUGAAAAAUUAGCGGAUGACCUGUGGCUGGGGGUGAAAGGCCAAUCAAACCGGGAGAUAGCUGGUUCUCCCCGAAAGCUAUUUAGGUAGCGCCUCGUGAAUUCAUCUCCGGGGGUAGAGCACUGUUUCGGCUAGGGGGCCAUCCCGGCUUACCAACCCGAUGCAAACUGCGAAUACCGGAGAAUGUUAUCACGGGAGACACACGGCGGGUGCUAACGUCCGUCGUGAAGAGGGAAACAACCCAGACCGCCAGCUAAGGUCCCAAAGUCAUGGUUAAGUGGGAAACGAUGUGGGAAGGCCCAGACAGCCAGGAUGUUGGCUUAGAAGCAGCCAUCAUUUAAAGAAAGCGUAAUAGCUCACUGGUCGAGUCGGCCUGCGCGGAAGAUGUAACGGGGCUAAACCAUGCACCGAAGCUGCGGCAGCGACACUGUGUGUUGUUGGGUAGGGGAGCGUUCUGUAAGCCUGUGAAGGUGUGUCGUGAGGCAUGCUGGAGGUAUCAGAAGUGCGAAUGCUGACAUAAGUAACGAUAAAGCGGGUGAAAAGCCCGCUCGCCGGAAGACCAAGGGUUCCUGUCCAACGUUAAUCGGGGCAGGGUGAGUCGACCCCUAAGGCGAGGCCGAAAGGCGUAGUCGAUGGGAAACGGGUUAAUAUUCCCGUACUUGGUGUUACUGCGAAGGGGGGACGGAGAAGGCUAUGUUGGCCGGGCGACGGUUGUCCCGGUUUAAGCGUGUAGGUGUGUGUUCCAGGUAAAUCCGGUUCACUUUAACACUGAGGCGUGACGACGAGGCACUACGGUGCUGAAGCAACAAAUGCCCUGCUUCCAGGAAAAGCCUCUAAGCAUCAGGUAACAUCAAAUCGUACCCCAAACCGACACAGGUGGUCAGGUAGAGAAUACCAAGGCGCUUGAGAGAACUCGGGUGAAGGAACUAGGCAAAAUGGUGCCGUAACUUCGGGAGAAGGCACGCUGACACGUAGGUGAAGUGAUUUACUCAUGGAGCUGAAGUCAGUCGAAGAUACCAGCUGGCUGCAACUGUUUAUUAAAAACACAGCACUGUGCAAACACGAAAGUGGACGUAUACGGUGUGACGCCUGCCCGGUGCCGGAAGGUUAAUUGAUGGGGUCAGCGCAAGCGAAGCUCCUGAUCGAAGCCCCGGUAAACGGCGGCCGUAACUAUAACGGUCCUAAGGUAGCGAAAUUCCUUGUCGGGUAAGUUCCGACCUGCACGAAUGGCGUAAUGAUGGCCAGGCUGUCUCCACCCGAGACUCAGUGAAAUUGAACUCGCUGUGAAGAUGCAGUGUACCCGCGGCAAGACGGAAAGACCCCGUGAACCUUUACUAUAGCUUGACACUGAACAUUGAGCCUUGAUGUGUAGGAUAGGUGGGAGGCUUUGAAGUGUGGACGCCAGUCUGCAUGGAGCCGACCUUGAAAUACCACCCUUUAAUGUUUGAUGUUCUAACGUGGACCCGUUACCCGGGUUGCGGACAGUGUCUGGUGGGUAGUUUGACUGGGGCGGUCUCCUCCUAAAGAGUAACGGAGGAGCACGAAGGUUGGCUAAUCCUGGUCGGACAUCAGGAGGUUAGUGCAAUGGCAUAAGCCAGCUUGACUGCGAGCGUGACGGCGCGAGCAGGUGCGAAAGCAGGUCAUAGUGAUCCGGUGGUUCUGAAUGGAAGGGCCAUCGCUCAACGGAUAAAAGGUACUCCGGGGAUAACAGGCUGAUACCGCCCAAGAGUUCAUAUCGACGGCGGUGUUUGGCACCUCGAUGUCGGCUCAUCACAUCCUGGGGCUGAAGUAGGUCCCAAGGGUAUGGCUGUUCGCCAUUUAAAGUGGUACGCGAGCUGGGUUUAGAACGUCGUGAGACAGUUCGGUCCCUAUCUGCCGUGGGCGCUGGAGAACUGAGGGGGGCUGCUCCUAGUACGAGAGGACCGGAGUGGACGCAUCACUGGUGUUCGGGUUGUCAUGCCAAUGGCACUGCCCGGUAGCUAAAUGCGGAAGAGAUAAGUGCUGAAAGCAUCUAAGCACGAAACUUGCCCCGA